rnacentral:rRNA from 1 species
GACCCAGACUCCUACGGGAGGCAGCAGUGGGGGAUAUUGCACAAUGGGGGAAACCCUGAUGCAGCGACGCCGCGUGGGCGAAGAAGUAUUUCGGUAUGUAAAGCCCUAUCAGCAGGGAAGAAGAAAUGACGGUACCUGAGUAAGAAGCACCGGCUAAAUACGUGCCAGCAGCCGCGGUAAUACGUAUGGUGCAAGCGUUAUCCGGGUUUACUGGGUGUAAAGGGGGCGCAGACGGCAGCGCAAGCCAGGAGUGAAAGCCCGGGGCCCAACCCCGGGACUGCUCUUGGAACUGCGUGGCUGGAGUGCAGGAGGGGCAGGCGGAAUUCCUGGUGUAGCGGUGAAAUGCGUAGAUAUCAGGAGGAACACCGGUGGCGAAGGCGGCCUGCUGGACUGCAACUGACGUUGAGGCCCGAAAGCGUGGGGAGCAAACAGGAUUAGAUACCCGUGUA